AAGAAAGAGAAAGAAGAAAAAAGAGAAGAGAAGGAAGUACCCACCCUUUCUCAAGGAACUGACUAUUUUGGGAAAAACUCUGAUGAAUGAUAUUACAAGCAAGAGGCAUUGUCACAGAGGGCUCUGUCCUAGAGGAGUCUAAAGUCAUUUAGAAAGCACUGCCUAAACCUUUCCACUGUCUCAGGUACUAGUGCUAUAAUCUUGAUCUGUCAAAUCACACUACCAUAUGCUCCAAGCCAUGAACUGUCUAUAAUGACCUACAAUGGAUCCUCCUUUGAAGACAGUGUCAGCCUUAGUUUAAAAUGGGAAGGACAUAUAUAAUUAAAUAUUAAAUGAAGAGUGUGGAAGACCAAUGAUGAAGACUGGAAAUAAGUUAUUGGCAUUGGAGAUGAUGGGGCUACACGAAUGGCUGAC